ACAGAGGAGGCAAGCGUUGUUCGGAAUCACUGGGCUUAAAGCGUGUGUAGGCGGCCAUGCAAGUACUUUGUGAAAUCCCUCGGCUCAACCGGGGAAUUGCUUGGUAUACUGCAGGGCUUGAGGCGGGUAGGGGUGCUUGGAACUCUAGGUGGAGCGGUGAAAUGCGUAGAUAUCUAGAGGAACGCCUGUGGCGAAAGCGGAGCACUGGGCCCGUCCUGACGCUAAGACGCGAAAGCGUGGGUAGCAAACGGGA
rnacentral:rRNA from 1 species